UGCAGUCGAGCGGAUGAGGGAGCUUGCUCCUGGAGUUAGCGGCGGACGGGUGAGUAAAGCCUAGGAAUCUGCCUGGUAGUGGGGGACAACGACUCGAAAGGGUCGCUAAUACCGCAUACGUCCUACGGGAGAAAGUGGGGGAUCUUCGGACCUCACGCUAUCAGAUGAGCCUAGGUCGGAUUAGCUUGUAGGUGAGGUAAUGGCUCACCUAGGCAACGAUCCGUAACUGGUCUGAGAGGAUGAUCAGUCACACUGGAACUGAGACACGGUCCAGACUCCUACGGGAGGCAGCAGUGGGGAAUAUUGGACAAUGGGCGAAAGCCUGAUCCAGCCAUGCCGCGUGUGUGAAGAAGGUCUUCGGAUUGUAAAGCACUUUAAGUUGGGAGGAAGGGUUGUAGUUUAAUACGCUGCAAUUUUGACGUUACCAACAGAAUAAGCACCGGCUAACUCUGUGCCAGCAGCCGCGGUAAUACAGAGGGUGCAAGCGUUAAUCGGAAUUACUGGGCGUAAAGCGCGCGUAGGCGGCUUGAUAAGAUGGGUGUGAAAUCCCCGGGCUUAACCUGGGAACUGCAUCCAUAACUGUCUGGCUAGAGUACAGUAGAGGGUGGUGGAAUUUCCUGUGUAGCG
rnacentral:rRNA from 1 species